rnacentral:rRNA from 1 species
UACGAAGGGGGCUAGCGUUGCUCGGAAUUACUGGGCGUAAAGGGCGCGUAGGCGGAUAGUUUAGUCAGAGGUGAAAGCCCAGGGCUCAACCUUGGAAUUGCCUUUGAUACUGGCUAUCUUGAGUUCGGGAGAGGUGAGUGGAAUGCCGAGUGUAGAGGUGAGAUUCGUAGAUAUUCGGCGGAACACCAGUGGCGAAGGCGACUCACUGGCCCGAUACUGACGCUGAGGCACGAAAGCGUGGGGAGCAAACAGG